CGGAAUGUGGCGUAGUUUGGUAGCGUAUUGUAUUUGGGAUGCAAUGGUCACAGGUUCGAAUCCUGUCAUUCCGA
rnacentral:tRNA from 1 species